UGAAUACGAGAUGCUACGGCGUCGAAGCAGUCUAUGUCAUACUUCCAAGAAAAGCUUGCACUGUCAUAAACAAAUAAUGCCUGUACCAUAACCGACACAGGUGGGUAGGUAGAGUAUACUAAGGGGCGCGAGAUAACUCUCUCUAAGGAACUCGGCAAAAUGACUCCGUAACUUCGGGAGAAGGAGUGCCUUAUUUUAUAAGGUUGCAAUAACAAGAUCCAAGCAACUGUUUACCAAAAACACAGGUCUCCGCUAAGUCGUAAGACGAUGUAUGGGGGCUGACGCCUGCCCAGUGCCAGAAGGUUAAAGAAGUUGGUUAGCAUCCGCGAAGCUGAUAACUGAAGCCCUGGUGAACGGCGGCCGUAACGAUAACGGUCCUAAGGUAGCGAAAUUCCUUGUCGGGUAAGUUCCGACCCGCACGAAAGGCGUAAUGAUUUGGAUACUGUCUCAGAGAGGGGCUCGGUGAAAUAGACUUGUCUGUGAAGAUGCGGACUACCUGCACCAGGACAGAAAGACCCUAUGAAGCUUUACUGUAACUUGAAAUUGAAAUUGGACUUUACUUGCGCAGUAUAGGUGGGAGGCGUUGAGAAUAUUCUUGCGGGAAUGUUGGAGCCAUCAGUGAGAUACCACUCUUGUAAUGUUAGAUUUCUAACUUUGUAUCAUUAUCUGGUCAAAGGACAGUUUCAGGCGGGCAGUUUGACUGGGGCGGUCGCCUCCCAAACGGUAACGGAGGCGCACAAAGGUUUCCUCUGAACGGGUAGAAAUCGUAUCUAGAGUGUAAAGGCAUAAGGAAGCUUGACUGUGAGACCUACAAGUCGAGCAGGGACGAAAGUCGGUCUUAGUGAUCUGACGGUGCUGAGUGGAAAGGCCGUCACUCAACGGAUAAAAGUUACUCUAGGAUAACAGGCUGAUCUCCCCCAAGAGUUCACAUCGACGGGGAGGUUUGGCACCUCGAUGUCGGCUCAUCGCAUCCUGGGGCGGUAGUACGUCCCAAGGGUUGGGCUGUUCGCCCAUGAAAGCGGUACGCGAGCUGGGUUCAGAACGUCGUGAGACAGUUCGGUCCAUAUCCGGUGUAGGCGUUAGAAUAUUGAGAGGAGCCUUCUUUAGUACGAGAGGACCGAGAAGGACAUACCUCUGGUGUACCAGUUAUCGUGCCAACGGUAAACGCUGGGUAGCUAUGUAUGGAGUGGAUAACCGCUGAAAGCAUCUAAGUGGGAAGCCCACCUCAAGAUAAG
rnacentral:rRNA from 1 species